GCUAUCUGUUAUUCAUUUAUGAUUGAGAAAUGCUAGACAUAGUGGAAAUCCAGUACGCAUUAUUUCCUAAAGAUGUGAUACCCUAGUUUUGUUCUCUGUUGGAGAAUGUUGCAGUACACUCUUAUUGGAUGGCACCAAAUGGCAUAAAAUAAUUUUACCAUUUCUUGACAAGGAAGUUCUCUAUUUGGUUGUUAAUGUAGGUAUUGCU
rnacentral:misc_RNA from 1 species